rnacentral:rRNA from 1 species
GUGUCAGCAGCCGCGGUAAGACGUAGGAUCCGAGCGUUGUCCGGAGUUACUGGGCGUAAAGCGCGCGCAGGCGGACCGAUACAUCGGCGGUGAAAGCCCCCCGCUCAACGGGGGAGGGUCCGUCGAGAUGGUCGGUCUGGAGGCAGGGAGAGGCCAGUGGAAUUCCGGGUGUAGUGGUGAAAUGCGUAGAGAUCCGGAGGAACACCAGUGGCGAAGGCGGCUGGCUGGACCUGACCUGACGCUGAGGCGCGAAGGCGUGGGGAGCGAACGGGAUUAGAUACCCCGGUAGUCC